rnacentral:lncRNA from 1 species
GCAGCUUGUCAAUAGGAAGUUGUUUCCCCAUAUGUACCGCAAAUCCAGCUCACUCUUCAAAAUAAAAUUCAUAUGUAUUUGCUUAAAAAGUUAUUUGAAAUCUUCUACUCUGACAAAUUCUGUAUAUUACAUCCAUUUGAAGUUUUGCAUCAUCUUAAUGCCCUGGGUUUGCAUUUCAAUUGUACAAAGUGUUUCCAAAAAUGGUUCUAGAUAUCACUGAGCUAUGACUGACUUCUUAAUUUGAUUUUCUUUAUGGAUGUGAAAAAAAAUGCUGCUACUUGUCUAUGUUACGUGUAGUAUAUUACAAUUUAAGUACAGUACUUUAUAGUAAAGAAAGAACCUUUUUUUUUUUUUUUGCUUAGACCUUCUUAAUUGUAGGUUUCUCUGAAGUUCUUUCCUGUAGGUAUGUGAGUGUUAUAAACAAGUCUGAAAGUGUUACACAUUUUUAGGUUACAGGGGGUGGUAGGGAGACAGCUGAGGAAAGGAAGACAGUAGUGCAGAGUUUUACCCUGAGUUCCAGAUUCCAUAUAUAUUUUGCUGAAGGCAUUUUCUCAAUGACAUUAGAAAAGCUAUAUCCAAAGGUAAAUUUUUUGUGGCAAAGAUUUAUUUUACAUUUUAACUUUGGGGAUUUUGUUUAUUUGUUUUUGCAAAUAAAGAGCACUGAACUUUAAACUUGAAUUUUUUCUGCACUUUUUUAGGUAAUGAAAACUUUUUAUUAUCAUUUAAUCCACAUUUCUCAGUUAAAAUUAAGUGAUGCAUAUGUAUAAAACAUACCAAAAUCAUGAAUAUGCUGCUAGCUGCACCUUAAACAAUUAAACUGAUCAUAGUCUUAAAACCUUCAAUAGGGCUUUAUAUAGUUUUCAAGGAAACAAAUAGUAAAAUCAUUUGCUGUAUGUUUCAGUGUUCUAGGUCUUAAAUUAUUGCAACACUUUCAGAUUUGUUUUAAGAUCAUACAGUAACAUGUUAUAUUUAUACAUACUGCUAGAGAAUAUACUUUUAAUUUUAAAAUGAAAUUUUUAUAAAUGUACUCUUUAAUUUUAAAAAUGGUGAACUUGUUAAGUUUAAGUCAAAGUACUUAAAAAGUAUGUAUAUUAUCCAUACAAAAAGUUAUGUUUUACGCUUAUAAUAAGAAAUACUGGUAUCUCAUAUCGAGAUACAAUUAAUUUUAAAGAAUCAUACAUUAUUCAAAAGUCUUCACGCAUUGACAGGAAAGAUAAUCAUUACUAUGGUUAAAAAAAAAACCCUCUAUUGAGCAUUUUCAAAUAUUAAUUUUAUUUUGGGGAAAAUGCCCACAACAGUAAUUGCAAAGUCUUUCUCAUAGCUGCAGCUUGCUGUCGGAUGCCUACCUUAACUAUUGUUUUAAAAUAUAUAUAUAUAUUUAAAAUAGUUUUCCAGGUAUUUUCUUCUACCUUUUUUAAAAAUAAAUUUCCAAAAAUGAAAACAGAGUUUAUGUAUUUUUGUCAAUGAAGGUUUUUAUUUUGUAGUUUAUAGAAUUUGUUCCUUAUCAGUUUGAUACUUGAUCACUAUUCCUAGACUUUUUAAUCUGUAUUUACUUUGAAAAAGAGCACUUCUCUAUCUUUAGUGUCCUCCUUUUUUUCUUUUCCCUUUUAGAGUGUUCUAUUGGAUUGAAAUUUAAGCCCACAAAUGAUUUUUUUUUCAUUUGAAAAUGAAUGUGAAGAUACUUGUUUACAGCUUUUGUUAAUCACACUUUUCAUCACUGAUCAAUUUCUUGUAAAGUGCUAUGGGGAUUAUUUUUCCUGUGAAUAUUAAUGAUCUUACUACUGCCACAGAAGUUUUAAAGGUUCUGUGGACAGAAAAUAGGUAUAACAACAACAACAAAAAUUAAAGGGAAAACUUUACCUUUCUCAGCUGAAUUAACUUCCCAGUUGUCAGGCUUAUAACAUGUUUUUUUUUCUUCAGUUAUCAAUACAGUCUUAAAUCACUAGGCAUAAUUCAUUUACAAAUUGAGUACAGUAGUCCAGGGCUACAUGUAAUUGCUCUUUUUAUUGCAUAUUGCACUCUACAUCAGAAAAACCAUGAAUGUCAGUUUUGCCGGUAUUUUGCAAUGAGGCUCAUAGUUUAAAUUAAAAUUUUAUAGUGUAUGAGAUGUAAAUAAGUCAGUAUUAAUUUAUUGUAGAUUGUUUGGCUCAGGCAUUUUAAAUGGACAUUGGCUAAUGGCAAUGGGUUCCUAUUUGGGAGUUUCAUUUUUUUAAAUAUACUUUGCUAAGUGUUUUGUGUUCUAACUUUGCUUCAACUGAAGACAAUGUGAGGAGUUAAAAACAGACUCAACAUGUCAGUAGAAAGCAAUGCAAAGAGAGUAAAUCAUAUUUUAAAUUUUGUAAUUUUUUUUUUGUAAAUAAAUGGUACUGUGAUACUUUAGGUGUGACCUCUGCUUAACAUGAUAGAACCAGAAAAACAUUUCUUUUCUAGUUAUACUAUUGGUUCAUUGUAAAUGCAUUACCAAAACAAUAUUAAAAAGAGCAAGAAUAAGUUUUUCUAACAUUGUCCACUUCAGGGGCAAGCAUGCUUGGUAUAGAGCUCUAGCUUGUGUCUACCUUAAACCUGCAGGCAGUUUUCAGUUGCUGCACUUUUUUUUUUUAAUUUUGCUCAGUCCAGUAACUAUCUCAAAGGUAAUUGCUGGAAUAUGCAUUUUAAAUACGGUUAAAAAAAAAAUCUCUGUGUACUGUUUCAUUUUAAACAAAAACAAAAAAAGCACUAUUGCAAACACUAAAAAUGUGUUAAACUUUGUAGUUAUUUUGCAUUCCUGUACUUUACAAAAUGUCAUCACAGCAAAAGGUUUAAAAUUAGGUAAUGAAAUAUUUUUGUAAAUAAAUACCGUUAAGCUGGUAUUUUAAAAAAAUGUAUUAUAAUGUUUCUGGAAAAUGUUCAUAUAUAUGUAUAUGAAUGUCUCUUUAUGCUGAAGGGCUCUGAUUGGGCAAAAUAAAAUAC